ACGUUCGUCGGCGGCGGCAAAGCAACGAAAAGAAGCAAAACGAAAACCCAGGCGAGCCAACCUUACCAGCUCGAGGUCAGAAAACUUCCUCUUUCAUUCAACGUGUGUCCAGUGGUGAAGACGUUCUUUUCGUCUCUUCACUACCCAACCCUAAAAUGAGAGCUAAGUGGCGUAAGAAGCGUAUGCGAAGGCUGAAGCGUAAGCGCAGGAAGAUGCGUGCGAGGUCCAAGUAAAUCACUGGAUUCCAAGCGUCUAUCCCUCGGUAUUAAACUAAGGAUAAGGACCCGUACAUGAAUACAAAAAGCGCCCACCUUUGCCUUUGGUUGAAGACGCGUGGAGUCGACUGCCACCCGGAGGAAUUGGAGUCCUCUUCCGCUGGUGUGGCACCUCUUUUGGAAGCCGGUUCCUGCCGUUUGCAUUCAGUGGAGAACUAACUGAAGUGUGUGUUAAUAUUGGACCAUUCGGAGAAAAUAUAGAUACCACGUCACCCCCCGCCGGAUGUUCUUUCGGUGAAGCGACUGAAGCUGACGGGCGAUGAUGGGAGCAAAAAUUAA